rnacentral:lncRNA from 1 species
CUAUUACAGGACAUUGUUCAGAAAACAACUUCAACAAUCAAAUAAACACAACAAAAAGAAAAAUUAAUCUAGAAUAUCCUCGGCAUCAACGAACAGCUCUUCUUCAUCAUCGGUAUCUGCCUCAGCUGUUGCACCACCAACUGUUGGAACAGUUGGAGCAACAGUUGGAUCGUCAGAUCCAGCAGCAGCAGCAACUCCCCCUGAACGAGAUAUCUCCUGAUGUGCUGCUUCGUGGCCAACUCCCCCUGAAGUGUCUCCCCCUUUCUGAGCAAGGGCUGUAAAGUAGUCGAUUUUUUUUCUUCAGUUCAUCGGCUCU